ACUCAAAGGAAUAGACGGGGGCCCGCACAAGCGGUGGAGCAUGUGGUUUAAUUCGACGCAACGCGAAGAACCUUACCUGGGCUUGACACGCACCGGACCGGUGUAGAAAUACACCUUCCCUUCGGGGCCGGUGUGCAGGUGCUGCAUGGCUGUCGUCAGCUCGUGUCGUGAGAUGUUGGGUUAAGUCCCGCAACGAGCGCAACCCUCGUCCUUAGUUGCCAGCGGAUGAUGCCGGGCACUCUAAGGAGACUGCCGGUCAUAAGCCGGAGGAAGGUGGGGAUGACGUCAAGUCCUCAUGGCCCUUACGUCCAGGGCUACACACGUGCUACAAUGGCCGAUACAAAGGGUUCCGAUACCGCGAGGUGGAGGCAAUCCCAAAAAAUCGGUCUCAGUUCGGAUUGCAGUCUGCAACUCGACUGCAUGAAGGCGGAAUCGCUAGUAAUCGCUGAUCAGCAGGCAGCGGUGAAUACGUUCCCGGGCCUUGUACACACCGCCCGU
rnacentral:rRNA from 1 species